ensembl:lncRNA
AUGCAAAAGGCUUGCCUCCAGGUUACAACAACACAACCACACCACAAAACCACAAUCCAGACCCACAAAACUCACAACAGCGCAUCAUGCGAUAACAACACAACUAAACGCCCCAGAAAUACAAAACUUGGCAACACAAUGCAAAAGCCUUGCCUCCCAGUUGUAACAACACAACUACACCACAAAACCACACAGGACCCACAAAACUCACAACAACGCAUUGUGACUAUAACAACACAACUAAACGCCCCAGAAAUACAAAAUUUGACAACACAACUCAUCCACCUCCCCAAUCCCUACAUUCACACUUGGCCUCCAAAAAAAACAAUUACAAUAAUAACAAUGACAACAACAACAACAAUAAGAAUCAACACCAUCACAGGCAAGAAACAGCCAGGCACUGAGGCUGAGAGGCCAGUCAGUGCUACACUGGGCCUCCAAAAAACAAUACAGUAGCAUCUAACUUAUCCAACCUUCAUGACCACUACAACAACAAUAAUAAUAAACAGCUACACAGGCAAAAAAAAAAAAAAGACGAUUGUACCACAAUAAAAAUAUAAACCGCACUCAGCAGAAUCAGACAUUACAACUAACAACAAACCAAAGACAACAGGGAUCUCAAGCAAUUAUCAAUCAACACAAAAACUGAAGAAGGUAACAGACUUCAAAUACUACUACUAAUGUGAGUAUAAAGAAGGGUGGAGGUCACAGCAUAAAUACAACCUAAUGUAGACUGACCAACACCACCAGACUAAGCCACAGCAACGCGUGGCCGGGCACAGCUAGUGAUUCUAUAUAUUGGGGCAAAUAGGAUGCGUGAUAUUUUCCUCAUAAUCUACAUAGCUGCCAACUGGAACUAUGAAAGAAAGGGUAACAUUUAUCUUUUUCAUGUCCAGGUACUACAGCACCGUGGCAUUAAUUCAAAUAACUACCACAUGCAUCUAUAUCCAGACAAGUUUAUAGCUUGUAUAUUUGGUAACUGCUAAGCAUAUCUCAGUGUGGAAAAAGGAACAAGACCAAACACUCCCUCUACUGUUCUAACCCAAAAGGAAAACCAGAUGACUCUACAUUUUCAGAAUCCUGUCCCAAUUAUAUUUCAUUUAAUAACACUCAAGCUUUUUCUAAAAGAAAAAAUUGCUGGCAAGGGGAAAUGAAAUGACACGAUUUUAUGGGAUCAUUCAUCAAGAACUAAUUGAAGCUUUCAUACAGGUUAGUGCUGAUAAAAUGUUGGUAACAAUAAACAAUAACAAAAUUUGCGGGAGAAGGAUUUGUUUUGCCGUGAUGAAAAUGGUUCACUUUCAUCCUGGGGAUUCCUGGUUAAAAAGAAUCUCCAAUUUAAAAAGGGAUAAGCCCAAGUUCCUCUGCAUAAUGACAGGAUGGAAGCUGUGUCAAAUGUAUUAGUAUUGCUCCAGUGGAGCUAUUCUCAUUGUAAGCAUUUGCUAUUGUGUGAGACUGAGGGAGGAUGCAUAGCUACCAAUAGGAUUUUUUUUUGUUAAAAAAAAGUUGGAUUAGUUGGCGGAGGAAGGGGGGUGGAAUGCAGUUCUUGUGUAGCUUUAAUCAGAAAGUAGGGUAAAUGAUAACUUUGCUAUAUAUAGGUAAUAUAUUAGCUGAUCUCUCCAAGAUUCACUUAAUAGAAUCCUCUACUGGUACUGAGUGAACUCAACUUAUUGUAGGAUUAUUUCCCCCCUCUGACCAUAUCCUGCAAACAUAACAUGAGUGACACAUUAUGCAAUAUGCCAAAUAAACAUUUAUCCCAUUUAUUUUUAUAAUCAUAAAAUGAAAAGUAUUUUAUGUAUUUAAUUGGGUUGUGUACCUGAUAUUGCACAUCUGGGUAAAUUAAAAUUGAAAAUACACAUAGGUAAAAAUAGUAAACUGUGACAUGUUAUUUAAAUAAUAGAUUUAAAGGGAUGAAAAUGAUGGGGUGGGUGAAAGUUUUCAUUAGUUUAAAAUAACGCAGUAGAUGCCUAUAUUUGUUCAGAAAUAAUUUGUAUUAUGCUACAUGCAGCUGACUCCUGGGUAAAUAUGAAGAGGAUUGUAUCCUCAGUUUAACAAUUAGAGGUAAUCCAACAUAUGAAAUGCACUCUUAAUAAGGAAAAGUGACAUUUUUAAGAUACCUAUACAGAAAAGCAACUGUACACAUCUCUUAUAAAGAUGAGUUUCUAUAAAAUUGUUUAAAGUAUUAUUUUCUUCAUGGCAUUAUUGCACACUGAUCUCUAAAUAUCCUCAAUGUGACUUAAUUGCUCAGAUUACCCCACUGAAAGGCAGAAAGACUCAGUUGAAUGCAUUUCUUUUCACACAAUGAAGUUUGAAUAGCUACUUUACAUGUUGCUUUAUUGAUGUUGUAGCUCCCUCCCUCCCUCCCUCCCUCCCUCCUUCCUUCCUUCCUUCCUUCCUCUUGUGUGAACUGUCCUGAGAAACCUUUAGUUAGAGAGUAGCACAUAAACAUUGAAUAGAAUCCUGUUGGUGUCUUCUGCGUGGGCGAGUUCCUCUAUGGCAAUGGUUGGAUAUAUUUGUCUGAUAUGUAAUGUGUGCGUUCACUUCAAAGUUGUGGAAGUGAAGUUGCACAUGUGGUGUCAUUGACUGUGUAAUGAACAUGUUCAUUUGUCUAUGCAGCUUGGCAAUUCAUAGACUGCAAAGCACAAUUAAUGCACAAAUUUGCAGGGAUUUAGGCUAUAUUCUGAUGUAAGAUCUUGGUCAUUGAGACCCCUAUAAAUAUUUUUGUUUUGUUUUAGGAAAUAAACUUCCAUAAGCCUGCAAUUUCCCUUGAUCUUUUAACCCAGUUCUUCUUUGUUGGUUCAUUGAAUUCGUGAGUAAACAUGUAUAGAAUUGCAUGUAGUUUUGUGGAGCAUUGAGGUGGCAUGAUUCUCAUGUUCUUAUAAAAUAGAUGGGAUAAAAUGUUGUGUUUCAUCAUAUGCUUUGAAUUACACAAAUUUGGAUUAUUUAACUUUCUUCUGUAGAAGGCAAUUGGUCAACCAUAGAUACAAUCUGAAUGAGCCAAAGUCAACAUCAACAAUCUACCCAUAUAUAAAUAAAUCUAGCAUUUAGUGGUUGUAGAGGUAACAUAUGCCUAGGAAAUGGGAAAAAUCUCAAAAACUGUAUUGUGCUGUUUUCUUCUCUGUACUAGUUGUGGGUAUAUUCUGAGUAUUGUAUUACCAAAGGGCAAGCGUCAGAGCAAGGGCCACAAAGGGCCCUCCUAAGAGCCAUAUACAAUUUCCAGACCACAAUUCUCACCUCAGUUCAAUGCUGAGAAAAGAUAAGCUAUGGAUACUUAGGCAAUCCCUCGUAGCUCGAGGAUGAUGGUCCUCCAAGUAUAGCGUCUUGGCUGUGGAUAUGUAGGUGGUUGUGGAGACCUACUCUUGACCUGCAUGUUCUUCCGCAUUGAAGACAUCGGUUUCCAAAUGGAAGGCGGUCCCAGUAAGGGUUGACUUGAUGCGCCUUCCUCUUGGCAUGUUUCCCCCUUAAACCCUCCAUUAGUGCCUCUUCAAAUUCUGCAGCACUGUUGGUAACAGCUGACUUCCAAUUGGAGCGUUCAAGGGGCAGGCUUCCCAGUUCUCAGUGUCUAUGCUACAGUUUUUAAGAUUGGCUUUGAGCCCAUCUUUGAAUCUCUUUUCCUGGGCAUGACUCCAUUUUAAGUCUGAAUUAUUAUGACAUAAAACUACUAAAAAUCAUAAAUCAUGUGAUGACAAAUGAUAUAAGAUACAGUUUUGUGCCUCUGGGUUACUUUAUUUUUCAGUGCCUAGAUAAUUCCAGGUUAACCAUAAAGAGCAUUUUGAAAAGCAGAUUUUCAGGACCACGGUCAGCACUAAUAGCAUAUUUCCUCAUUUGUUUUUCAGUUAAGUUAGCAGCUACUACAGGCACAUUGUUGCUGCAAAAGAAGGAUGGUCAUAAUUUCCAUUCAGUGACAGUAUUCUUAAAUGUCAGAUGUUUGGCACAACCAGGAUUUACCUUUGCCUUGCUCACACAAAGUAGACAUGACAAAAACAAUGUCAAAACAUCAAGUGAAAAUUAAAGAUGAAAAGCUUUUAUUUGGCAAUGUUUUUGUGAGCUCCACCCAACCUUAUUGGCUUAAUCUGAU